GACGAACGCUGGCGGCGUGCUUAACACAUGCAAGUCGAACGGAAAGGCCCUGCUUUUGUGGGGUGCUCGAUUGGCGAACGGGUGAGUAACACGUGUGUAACCUUCCCUUGACUUUGGGAUAACUUCAGGAAACUGGGGCUAAUACCGGAUAUGAGCUCCUGCUGCAUGGUGGGGGUUGGAAAGUUUCGGCGGUUGGGGAUGGACUCGCGGCUUAUCAGCUUGUUGGUGGGGUAGUUGCUUACCAAGGCUUUGACGGGUAGCCGGCCUGUGAGGGUGACCGGAAACAUUGGGAGUGAGAUACGGCACAGAAGACAACGGGAGGCAGCAGUGGGGAAUAUUGCAAAAGGGGAGGAAGCCUGAUGCAGAAACGCCGCGGGCGGGAUGAAGGCCUUCGGGUUGUAAAACGAUUUCGCAUGUGACGAAGCGUGAGUGACGGUAAUGGGUAAAGAAGCACCGGCUAACUACGUG
rnacentral:rRNA from 1 species